rnacentral:rRNA from 1 species
UACGUAGGGUGCAAGCGUUAAUCGGAAUUACUGGGCGUAAAGCGUGCGCAGGCGGUUUUGUAAGACUGUCGUGAAAUCCCCGGGCUUAACCUGGGAAUGGCAUUUGGGACUGCAAGGCUUGAGUGCGGCAGAGGAGACUGGAAUUCUUGGUGUAGCGGUGAAAUGCGUAGAUAUCAAGAGGAACACCUGAGGCGAAGGCGGGUUGCUAGGCUGACACUGACGCUGAGUGCGCGAAAGCCAGGGGAGCAAACGGG